rnacentral:lncRNA from 10 species
UGUAGGUGUCAAGAUUACCAAGACACUUAAACACAGGCAUUGAAUGGAACAACACUCAACUUACACGGAGAAGAGGAGACAGCAAAAUCAGCUUCAAUAGUCAUAAUGCCGCGAAUUAUAACUGAUAGAAUAACUGGAUGAAGCUUUUGGAGCCUUUGAGAGGAAGAUGAGUGAAAUAGCAGUAGAGGAAAAUGAAUGCUCUCCACUGUGGUAAGCUGUAUUAGUUGUUCACUGUUCUUUGUUCCCUUCCUACUCUUGCCACAUUUCCCUGCAUGAUGAUUACAUUUUUCUGACUUUGAGCUUAACUAUACAACUUGAUUCCUCAAUAGUGUAUGAGUAGACAUUUUUUCCCACACUUGUGCAGAGGCAUUCAAUACAUUUGUGUGAUUUUGUUCUGCAUCGUUUUGUUUCUGCACCUGACCAUGAGAACAGCACAUCCCAAAUAUGAGCAACUCUUUGAGCAUGGGUCCAAGAAAAAGAGCUUAUUUGAGGUAAGCAGAGCUCAGAAAAGCUGUAACUCAUUGUCAAUCUCAAAAGAAAAAGAAUUGUGUUGUUGUAAGUAACUGAGAUUUUGCUACCUCAGUAAAAAUGUGAUUUAAACAGCUAAAUUAACCAGAUAAUCACUAGAGAACAAAGGCAAGAUGGUGGUGUUAUUUAGGUAGAGAGAAAUUUACUUUUCAAAGUCUAAGACAAUUAGUACUAGUCAUCAAGAGGUCAUAAAAUAUUGCCAAAGAAGAGUAUUUGAAUCUUGUUUUAUGACUAGAAGCCAUAAACAAAAGAAAAAAAUCCAGAGUUUCAUGUUUUUAAAGGGGCGAAAGGAAUACUUUUAAAACUCACUGUGAUUUGCGUGAGAGGAAUGGGUAGUAUCUCAACUGCAGGUUGUAAUGGAUACUGCAGCAUUUGUGUG